AGAGUUUGAUCCUGGCUCAGAUUGAACGCUGGCGGCAUGCCUAACACAUGCAAGUCGAGCGGUAACAGGUGUAGCAAUACAUGCUGACGAGCGGCGAACGGGUGAGUAAUGCUUCGGAAUCUACCCUCUAGUGGGGAAUAACCAGCCGAAAGGUUGGCUAAUACCGCAUACGUCCUACGGGAGAAAGCAGGGGAUCGUAAGACCUUGCGCUGAUGGAUGAGCCGAAGUCGGAUUAGCUAGUUGGUGAGGUAACGGCUCACCAAGGCGACGAUCCGUAGCUGGUCUGAGAGGACGACCAGCCACACUGGGACUGAGACACGGCCCAGACUCCUACGGGAGGCAGCAGUGGGGAAUAUUGGACAAUGGGGGCAACCCUGAUCCAGCGACGCCGCGUGUGUGAAGAAGGCCUGCGGGUUGUAAAGCACUUUUAGUGGGGAUGAAAUGUGCAGGGUUAAUACCUCUGCAUUUUGACCUAACCCACAGAAAAAGCACCGGCUAACUCUGUGCCAGCAGCCGCGGUAAUACAGAGGGUGCAAGCGUUAAUCGGAAUUACUGGGCGUAAAGCGUGCGCAGACGGUUAUAUAAGUCGGGUGUGAAAGCCCCGGGCUCAACCUGGGAAUUGCAUUCGAGACUGUGUAGCUAGGGUACGGAAGAGGGAAGCGGAAUUUCAGGUGUAGCGGUGAAAUGCGUAGAUAUCUGAAGGAACACCAGUGGCGAAAGCGGCUUCCUGGUCCAGUACCGACGUUCAGGCACGAAAGCGUGGGGAGCAAACAGGAUUAGAUACCCUAGUAGUCC
rnacentral:rRNA from 1 species